rnacentral:pre_miRNA from 1 species
AUACUACUCCCUCCGUCCGGAAUUACUUAUCACACAAAUGAAUAAAAAUGAAUGUAUCUAGAAUUAAAAUACAUCAAUUCCUAUGACAAGUAUUUCUGGACGGAGGGAGUACUAU